CAGUCGAACGGAGAUAUCAUUUUCGAAGCGAUUAGUUUACUAAGAGUGGAGAUGUUGGUAUCUUAGUGGCGGACGGGUGAGUAACGCGUGGGUAACCUGCCUUACACUGGGGGAUAACACUUAGAAAUAGGUGCUAAUACCGCAUAACAGGGAAAGAUGCAUGUCUUUUCCUUGAAAACUCCGGUGGUGUAAGAUGGACCCGCGUCUGAUUAGCUGGUUGGCGGGGUAACGGCCCACCAAGGCGACGAUCAGUAGCCGGCCUGAGAGGGUGAACGGCCACAUUGGGACUGAGACACGGCCCAAACUCCUACGGGAGGCAGCAGUGAGGGAUAUUGGUCAAUGGGGGAAACCCUGAACCAGCAACGCCGCGUGAGGGAAGACGGUUUUCGGAUUGUAAACCUCUGUCCUCUGUGAAGAUAAUGACGGUAGCAGAGGAGGAAGCUCCGGCUAACUACGUGCCAGCAGCCGCGGUAAUACGUAGGGAGCGAGCGUUGUCCGGAUUUACUGGGUGUAAAGGGUGCGUAGGCGGGUAAGCAAGUCAGAAGUGAAAUCCAUGGGCUUAACCCAUGAACUGCUUUUGAAACUGUUUAUCUUGAGUGAAGUAGAGGUAGGCGGAAUUCCCGGUGUAGCGGUGAAAUGCGUAGAGAUCGGGAGGAACACCAGUGGCGAAGGCGGCCUACUGGGCUUUAACUGACGCUGAAGCACGAAAGCGUGGGUAGCAAACA
rnacentral:rRNA from 1 species